rnacentral:rRNA from 1 species
GAGUUUGAUCAUGGCUCAGGAUGAACGCUGGCGGUAUGCUUAACACAUGCAAGUCGUACGAAAAAGAAUAUUUUUAGUGGCGAACGGGUGAGUAACGCGUGAGAAUUUGCCUUUAGGAAGAGGAUAAUCUCUAGAAAUAGAGGCUAAUACUCUAUAUGCCAUUUGAAAAUUUGGUGAAAAGAUUUUAUCUGCCUAGAGAGAAGCUCGCGUCUGAUUAGCUAGUUGGUAGGGUAAUGGCCUACAAAGGCGACGAUCAGUAGCUGGUCUGAGAGGAUGAUCAGCCACACUGGAACUGAGACACGGUCCAGACUCUUGCGAGAGGCAGCAGUGAGGAAUUUUCUGCAAUGGACGAAAGUCUGACAGAGCAAUACCGCGUGAGGGACAAAGGCCUACGGGUUGUAAACCUCUUUUCCCAAGGAGGAAGAUCUGACGUUACUUGGGGAAUAAGCAUC